UUCACCCUCUCAUCAAACUCACUCACUCAACAUUUCAUUUUUCUUAUUACCUAAUUCAUUAGAUCCAUGUAUAAAACACAAAACGAUCCCUUGAACUUCACCAGCAUCUCUAUCUCUCUACACUGAACAAGAUAUCAUAUAUCAUGUCAUCUCCUAGAGAUAGAGGAAAGAGCUUGAUGGAAUCAUCAGGAUCAGAGCCACCGGUGACACCAAGCCGUUACGAGUCACAGAAGAGACGCGACUGGAACACUUUCGGACAGUACUUGAAGAACCAGAGACCGUCGGUGCCUAUGUCACACUGCAACUGCAACCACGUGCUUGAUUUCCUUAGGUACUUAGACCAGUUCGGUAAGACAAAGGUGCACGUGCCUGGCUGUAUGUUUUACGGCCAGCCUGAGCCACCAGCUCCUUGCACGUGCCCUCUCAGGCAAGCUUGGGGAAGUCUCGACGCUUUGAUCGGACGGCUGAGAGCGGCUUACGAGGAGAACGGUGGUUCUCAGGAAACAAACCCUUUCGCUAGUGGAGCAAUAAGGGUUUAUCUGAGGGAGGUUAGGGAGUGUCAGGCUAAGGCUAGAGGUAUUCCUUACAAGAAGAAGAAGAAGAAAAAGCCAACGAUCGAGAUGAGUGGUGGAAGAGACGACUCUUCUUCUUCCUCUUCCUUCAACUUCAUGGUGAAAGACUUUGUGGUCUUCAAACGAACAGGAAACUUUGUGUGGACCAGAAAUUGGGCCUUUUCUUACAAUCUCCACCUAAGGCCCAUAUUGCUGUCCACACCAUAUGGCCCAACUGCUUUUACCUUGCCGUUGGAAACGUCGACGAACCUUGGAGCGUUUCUUCUCCGUCUUUGAGUUACUCCAUAGACCACUCCACCUGAAGAUCCUCAGUCACCAUCAAUCACCAUCGUCAUGCUCCUUGUCCUCCUCGAAGCCGUGAUGAAUUCUAUCAGCGAAUCCCCUUCGCCAUAGCUCCGUGUAGCCCGUACACCGCUACUUCUUCUUCAACCUUUUCCGGCUUCGAUUCAUAUUUGCUCGAGAUCGACUUAACUUUCCAAUCCUCAGCUCUCUCAUUCAAUCACAUCAACUACUCUUCCAUGUUGAUGGAUGAACUGUGUCAAUCUUGCUGGAUUAUUAUAUUACUCCGCUGAGAUACUCUGUCUCCCUUCAGCUUCCAUAGCUGUUUAAGACGUUCUCUUCUCAGGAUGCUCCACCUCGAACUGAAAACAAUUUGGUCUCCUCUUGUUGUUCAACGGAGAUGCCUUAAAGGCAAUCUGUUUUUGCAUCCCCACCUGCAACUGAUAUCACCUUCUCUCUCCCUUUGAUGCUUCCUUUGAUAGUGAAGUUUUAAUGCAAUUCUGAAAGAAUCCUUGCAUCUUCUGGCAUUCUUCUCCAAUACCACCGACCCUUUGUAGUCUCAGCUUCUCCGACGGACCACCGCGUCUCCUCAGCUGUGCUGCUGAUAACUCCAUCAGCUCCUCUUCAGUUACUGUAUCUCGUUCCUAUUUCCAUGGGAUUCCCUGCGACAGUCUUGAUGAUUUUCCUUCCUGCCAGUUUUAGCUUUUAUAGAAUCUUCGAUGAUCAGUCGAAGUUACUUUGUUGCUAAACAAUCUCAGACCUUGUCGUAGCAUGAACACCAAGCAUGUGUUCUCCUCUUUGAUGAUCUUAGAUUUGACGAGUUCAAUUUUCCACAGUGCUCCUUUUCUCUCACUGCUCCAGCUCCACCUUAAGCUAUUGUUCAUGAACAUUUGCUGUUUCUUUGAUAUCGUCUUCUCCGAAGUACUCCUUUGAUAUCAAUUAUUUUUCAUGCCAGCUGCUUUUGACGGAAAAAAAAUAAUUCCUCUCCUGCUCCUUGAGACUUUAAGCUCCACCUGGAAACGAUGUCUAUACAUCCGACCCGACUACUGACUCUUACCAGGUCUUCAAACGAACAGGAAACUUUGUGUGGACCAGAAAUUGGGCCUUUUCUUACAAUUCGGAGAAAGUGGAAGACAUUCAUGUCUUUCAGAUGAUUAAAGGAGAUAGAUUAACGUCUCUGUUUAAUCUCUAACGCGGACUUUUUUAUGGGUUUAAUUUUGUUAAGUCAACUAAGAUUUGAGGAAUUAUUUUGCUUACACAAUAGUUGGAGCAUUAAACUGUUAAUUUCAAAUACUUGAGGAAUUAAAUGGUCAUUUUCCCGUAUCCGGGUCGGGUUUCAAAACAUUGCGUAAAACUCAUUAGAGAGUAAGGAGAAACAAACUCAUGGGAGUUUAUUGGACGACAGAGUUAGGCCCAUUAACUAUGUUAUGGACUUUAAGAAACCUAAUACUCAUUUGAAAAUUUUCGUCCAUCUUCUUCACUUCCCUCCUAAACCCUGAAUCGCAAAGCCCUAAGAGCACCAUUAUCGGUGUAUCUAAGCCUCGGGCCUUAGUCAUUAUGAGUCGAAAAAUAAAUCAAAAACACUUUAAAACAUUACAAACGGAUCUUAAUUAAGAAGUUUUGGCCUUGGUCCUUAGAGCAACGUGGCAGCAGCCGAUUGGGUAUCGAAAUCACUCUAAACCGCCGUCGCUCUCAUCCCACCCUCCGCUGCGUCCUCUCCGUCACUCCCCAAUCGACAAAUCCCCCUCCCCAAUCGACAAAUCCUCCACAGAAAUCUCAGACUUUUCGGCUGCCCUGAUGGAGUUUUGAGUGGAAAUAUCCUCACUUUCAUCUGUUUUUUUCUUUCAGGUAGUAAAAGAAGCUUCGAUGAUCUCGAAGACGAUGAAGAUGACAUCUUCGGAUCCAAAAAGGUACCCCUUUUUUUUCUUAAAUCAUAACAACAUUUGAAAAGUUUUGGACUUUCUAUAUGUUUCUUACUUUUAGAGUUUGCCCACUUUUGCUUCUUAAUGUAUAUACUGAUUUUGCUGGCAAUCACUUUCUCUUGUUCUCUCAUAUUGCUAAGACUAUAGUUUGUGUUCAUGAGAAACUUGUUGUUUUA